GGGGAAUAUUGCACAAUGGAGGAAACUCUGAUGCAGCAACGCCGCGUGGAGGAUGACGCAUUUCGGUGUGUAAACUCCUUUUAUAAGGGAAGAUAAUGACGGUACCUUAUGAAUAAGCACCGGCUAACUCCGUGCCAGCAGCCGCGGUAAUACGGAGGGUGCAAGCGUUACUCGGAAUCACUGGGCGUAAAGGAUGCGUAGGCUGUAAUAUAAGUCAGGAGUGAAAUCCAACGGCUCAACCGUUGAACUGCUCUUGAAACUGUUUUACUAGAAUAUGGGAGAGGUAGAUGGAAUUGGUGGUGUAGGGGUAAAAUCCGUAGAUAUCACCAGGAAUACCGAUUGCGAAGGCGAUCUACUGGAACAUUAUUGACGCUGAGGCAUGAAAGCGUGGGGAGCAAAC
rnacentral:rRNA from 1 species